CCUACGGGGGGCUGCAGUGGGGAAUAUUGCACAAUGGGCGCAAGCCUGAUGCAGCCAUGCCGCGUGUGUGAAGAAGGCCUUCGGGUUGUAAAGCACUUUCAGCGGGGAGGAAGGCGUUAAGGUUAAUAACCUUGUCGAUUGACGUUACCCGCAGAAGAAGCACCGGCUAACUCCGUGCCAGCAGCCGCGGUAAUACGGAGGGUGCAAGCGUUAAUCGGAAUUACUGGGCGUAAAGCGCACGCAGGCGGUCUGUCAAGUCGGAUGUGAAAUCCCCGGGCUCAACCGGGGAACUGCAUUCGAAACUGGCAGGCUAGAGUCUUGUAGAGGGGGGUAGAAUUCCAGGUGUAGCGGUGAAAUGCGUAGAGAUCUGGAGGAAUACCAGUGGCGAAGGCGGCCCCCUGGACAAAGACUGACGCUCAGGUGCGAAAGCGUGGGGAGCAAACAGGAUUAGAUACCCCGGUAGUC
rnacentral:rRNA from 1 species